CAGUAGCCGCGGUAAUACGUAGGGUGCGAGCGUUAAUCGGAAUUACUGGGCGUAAAGCGUGCGCAGGCGGUUGUGUAAGACAGGUGUGAAAUCCCCGGGCUUAACCUUGGAACUGCGCUUGUGACUGCACAGCUAGAGUAUGGCAGAGGGGGGUGGAAUUCCACGUGUAGCAGUGAAAUGCGUAGAGAUGUGGAGGAACACCGAUGGCGAAGGCAGCCCCCUGGGCCAAUACUGACGCUCAUGCACGAAAGCGUGGGGAGCAAACAGGAUUAGAUACCCCUGUAGUCCCUGUCUCUUAUAU
rnacentral:rRNA from 1 species